GCGGGCCGGGGUGGAAAGGUCUCCUGGCUGUCUGAGGUCCAGUCCCCGACUCUGGGCCUGCAGCAGCGAGUGGCAGCGAGGGAACCGCGCCCCACAGUCCCCGCGGGCGGGGAUGCGGAAGGCACCGGGGCUGGGAGGGGACCGGCCCUCCGCGCCCCACCCCGUGCACGCGCUCAUUCCUGCGGCGCACCCGGAACUGCCGCCGAGCGGGGACCGGCCCGGCCCAGCCCAACCCAGCACUGGGGGAGCGCGCCGGGAGCGGGGCAGGAGCCCAGCGCUGCCGCUCGCUACGGCAGGGUCUGGAGCGCCGCGCUGCACCUGAGCCCGGGCACGAAUUGAGGAGCCUCGGGCUGACGCCAUUUAUUCAGCACCUACUAUGUACCAGGCCUUGUUUAGGCACCGGAAGAUAACAGAUGAAUAAGACAUAAAGAUCCCUGCCGGUAUAGCUGCAGACAGAAUAGCUGUGAGGAUGACACAGGUGAAUGUAGAGAGAAAAGGUCGUGAAGAUAAAGAGGAACCAGCAGGAAGACUGAGAAGGAAUGACCCGCAAGGCAGGAACGGGACCAAGAAAAGGUGGUGUCCUUCUUGGAUACCAAGGGAUGGAGGCCAAGCAUGAAGGAAAGUUCAUUCACUGGACAGGUCACUCCACAGAUUGGCUGCCCAUUGCUCAGAUCCUGCCCCUAGAUCCAUCAGCUAUUGCUAUGAGCAUGGAGACACAUGGCAUUAAACACGGUCAUCUACAAGGG